AUUGAACGCUGGCGGUAUGCUUAACACAUGCAAGUCGGACGGAAACGACAGGGAGCUUGCUCCUUGGGCGUCGAGUGGCGGAUGGGUGAGUAAUAUAUAGGAACCUUCCUCAUAGUUUAGGAUAACUACUCGAAAGAGUAGCUAAUACUGGAUGUGGACUACGGUUUAAAGCAGGGGAUCUUCGGACCUUGCGCUACGAGAUGGGCCUAUACAAGAUUAGCUAGUUGGUGAGAUAAAAGCUCACCAAGGCGACGAUCUUUAGCUGGUUUGAGAGGAUGACCAGCCACACUGGGACUGAGACACGGCCCAGACUCCUACGGGAGGCAGCAGUGGGGAAUAUUGGACAAUGGGCGCAAGCCUGAUCCAGCCAUGCCGCGUGAGUGAUGAAGGCCCUAGGGUUGUAAAGCUCUUUCACCGGUGAAGAUAAUGACGGUAACCGGAGAAGAAGCCCCGGCUAACUUCGUGCCAGCCGCCGCGGUAAC
rnacentral:rRNA from 1 species